rnacentral:misc_RNA from 1 species
GAUGAAGAACGUAGCGAAAUGCGAUAAGUAAUGUGAAUUGCAGAAUUCAGUGAAUCACCGAAUCUUUGAACGCACAUUGCGCCCGCCAGUAUUCUGGCGGGCAUGCCUGUUCGAGCGUCAUUACAACCCUCAGGCCCCCGGGCCUGGCGUUGGGGAUCGGCGGAGCCCCCCGUGGGCACACGCCGUCCCCCAAAUACAGUGGCGGUCCCGCCGCAGCUUCCAUCGCGUAGUAGCUAACACCUCGCGACUGGAGAGCGGCGCGGCCACGCCGUAAAACACCCAACUCUUCUGAAGUUGACCUCGAAUCAGGUAGGAAUACCCGCUGAACUUAAGCAUAUCAAUAAGCGGAGGA